GCACAAGCGGUGGAGCAUGUGGUUUAAUUCGACGCAACGCGAAGAACCUUACCUAGGCUUGACAUGCAUGGGAAAGCCCUGAGAAACCAGGGCCCCUCUUCGGAGUCCAUGCACAGGUGCUGCAUGGCUGUCGUCAGCUCGUGUCGUGAGAUGUUGGGUUAAGUCCCGCAACGAGCGCAACCCCCGUUUCUAGUUGCCAGCGGGUAAUGCCGGGGACUCUAGAAAGACUGCCGGUGCCAAACCGGAGGAAGGUGGGGAUGACGUCAAGUCAUCAUGGUCCUUACGUCUAGGGCUACACACGUGCUACAAUGAUCGGUACAGAGGGUUGCCAACUCGCGAGAGUGCGCCAAUCCCAGAAAGCCGAUCUCAGUGCGGAUUGGAGGCUGCAACUCGCCUCCAUGAAGCUGGAAUCGCUAGUAAUCGUGGAUCAGCUACGCCACGGUGAAUACGUUCCCGGGC
rnacentral:rRNA from 1 species